rnacentral:rRNA from 1 species
AUGAACGCUAGCGACAGGCCUAACACAUGCAAGUCGAGGGGCAUCGGGGUGUAGCAAUACGCUGCCGGCGACCGGCGGAUGGGUGAGUAACGCGUAUGCAACCUGCCUUCAGCAGGGGGAUAGCCCGUUGAAAGACGGAUUAAUACCCCAUAACACAGGGGCUCCGCAUGGAGAUUAUUGUUAAAGGGAUACUUCCUUCGGGGGGUAUUCCGGCUGAAGAUGGGCAUGCGUUCCAUUAGGUAGUUGGUUGAGGUAACGGCUCACCAAGCCUGCGAUGGAUAGGGGAACUGAGAGGUUGGUCCCCCACACUGGUACUGAGACACGGACCAGACUCCUACGGGAGGCAGCAGUGAGGAAUCUUGGUCAAUGGACGGAAGUCUGAACCAGCCAUGUCGCGUGAAGGAGGACGGCCCUAAGGGUUGUAAACUUCUUUUGCAGGGGAAUAAAGUAUUCCACGAGAUGGGAUAUUGCAAGUACGCUGCGAAUAAGGAUCGGCUAACUCCGUG